UGGGGAAUAUUGCGCAAUGGGCGAAAGCCUGAUGCAGCGACGCCGCGUGCGGGAUGAAGGCCUUCGGGUUGUAAACCGCUUUCAGCAGGGACGAGGCCGCAAGGUGACGGUACCUGCAGAAGAAGCCCCGGCUAACUACGUGCCAGCAGCCGCGGUAAUACGUAGGGGGCAAGCGUUAUCCGGAUUCAUUGGGCGUAAAGCGCGCGUAGGCGGUCUGUUAGGUCAGGAGUUAAAUCUGGGGGCUCAACCCCUAUCCGCUCCUGAUACCGGCAGGCUUGAGUCUGGUAGGGGAAGAUGGAAUUCCAAGUGUAGCGGUGAAAUGCGCAGAUAUUUGGAAGAACACCGGUGGCGAAGGCGGUCUUCUGGGCCAUGACUGACGCUGAGGCGCGAAAGCUAGGGGAGCGAACAGG
rnacentral:rRNA from 1 species